rnacentral:rRNA from 1 species
CCUACGGGAGACAGCAGUGGGGGAUAUUGCACAAUGGGGGAAACCCUGAUGCAGCGACGCCGCGUGGGUGAAGAAGUAUUUCGGUAUGUAAAGCCCUAUCAGCAGGGAAGAAAGAAGACGGUACCUGACUAAGAAGCCCCGGCUAACUACGUGCCAGCAGCCGAGGUAAUACGUAGGGGGCGAGCGUUAUCCGGAUUCACUGGGUGUAAAGGGAGCGUAGACGGCCGUGCAAGCCAGGAGUGAAAGCCCGGGGCCCAACCCCGGGACUGCUCUUGGAACUGUGCGGCUGGAGUGCGGGAGGGGCAGGCGGAAUUCCUGGUGUAGCGGUGAAAUGCGUAGAUAUCAGGAGGAACACCGGCGGCGAAGGCGGCCUGCUGGACCGCGACUGACGUUGAGGCUCGAAAGCGUGGGGAGCGAACAGGAUUAGAUACCCGAGUAGUC